rnacentral:snRNA from 1 species
AACUCAACUCAAUUCAACUCAAC